UACGUAGGGUGCAAGCGUUGUCCGGAAUUAUUGGGCGUAAAGAGCUCGUAGGCGGUUUGUUGCGUCGGCUGUAAAAUCCCGAGGCUCAACCUCGGGUCUGCAGUCGAUACGAGCAAACUAGAGUGUUGCAGGGGAGACUGGAAUUCCUGGUGUAGCGGUGAAAUGCGCAGAUAUCAGGAGGAACACCGGUGGCGAAGGCGGGUCUCUGGGCAACAACUGACGCUGAGGAGCGAAAGCGUGGGGAGCGAACAGG
rnacentral:rRNA from 1 species